rnacentral:lncRNA from 1 species
UUUAGGUAUUUCACACACAUGGUCUAAGAUCAUCCAUUAUUGUAACCUUCCAUUUGGGUUGGUUGCAUGUGGCGACAAAAAAAUUAAUAAUUAACUUUGUUUAUCUUUGGCUCACAACCUCGUCUCCAUAGCAAUCCAAGGUUGCAACCGGUCCACUUGUCUACGUUUGAUUGAUGUAGGAUACACAUUUUUAAGAAGCAUGUACAAGGGACUGCAAGCUGGUAGAAGAGGAAGUUCAGCAGACUUUUAAACGCUCCAGGGGCAGGCUAGGGAUUUCACCCAUGAACCCUAAUAUCCCAUUAUAUAGCAUGUAAAUGAAUCUUGCAAUGAAGACGUGAAGAUAGAAAGGCAGAUUGAAUGUGAAUAAUGGUGGGAGUCUCCAGGUUGCAGAUGAAGCAUCGGUGUGUUUCAAUUUCAUCUCAAGUUCAUCAUGGUUGAAACACACAAGACACAUCUCACCAAUUUUGAAUGCCAGAGCAACACAAAGUUUCAACAACAACACUGAUUUAGACUGUUAUUUGUUUGAUUUCUUCAAUUUCAUCUCAUCAAUCCGACCACCUGCUUAGGUUUUCCUCAACUCUUCUGCUGUACAGAGUCAUCACCGGCAGGUUUUGGCUGUUGAUUUUGCUCUCUAAGCAAGGGUUUGUUGUUGAGUAAUCCAAUAUGGAUUCAGAUUUCAGAAACAUGUAAGGGUGGGGCUACGGAUGUUUUACCACAACCACCACCUGUUCCAGAAGACCUCGUUCCAAUCAAAGCUGAGCCAGAAGCCAAGAAGAAGGUCGUGCGUGUACCCAUGGCUAGGACGGACUCCAACGACCUGAAACAUCAAAUCAUAUAUUGGUUUCUUGUGAUGUAGCGAGAACCAUUUGGUUUGUCGUAGCAUCUUUGAUAGCCAUCUUCCCAGCCAACGGUCACUAGCGAUGGAUAGGAGAACCAGUGGGUUAAAUCUGACUGGAAGCAAGAUGAGAACAUUGCUGGGAAGUGGAAUUAUUAAUUAUACAUCUGGCAAAUGGAAUACGAAUGCGAAAAUAUAUUACAAAAAUGAUUUUUUAAGUCAUUUUUAGUGAUGCUAAGGCACAAGAAGCGUGUUGGGUAAACAGGAAAUGACACUGAAACUCAAAGCUCUGGAAAUAUUGGUCAAGAUCAACUGCCCAAAUGCUACUCAGAGUUCUUAUUAAUGAUUGCAGCCCAUCUAUAUCAAUAGAUAACAUCAGGCUUAAUAAAUGAGGCACCGAAGGUGAAUGCGGUGCCAGAAAAAAAAGGAAGAAGGGGAGGCGUCAAACGCAGCCCACGACGAAGGUGAAGAAGAAGAGAAAAUUGAGGGAGUAGUGGUGGCGGCUCCUCGUAGAAUGACAAGACGCGAUAUCUAAUGACAGAUGCACUGUUGAAGAAUCUAUAGUUAGUAGCUUUCUUUGAGUGGUUUAAUUGUUCGGUUCGGUUAAGGUUGGUUUAAUUCGGUUAUAUACUCACUCCUAGAACAUACAUAUACUUGUAAUACUAAAGCAGUCAGCUAGACUUUCUCUGCGUAUGUUUGACCUUAUAGGUUCAAUGACUAUUUUUUGUUGAAUGACAUAAAAUGUUAGAA